rnacentral:rRNA from 1 species
UACAGAGGGUGCGAGCGUUGUCCGGAAUCACUGGGCGUAAAGGGCGCGUAGGUGGUGGCUUAAGCGUGCGGUGAAAGCUCGGGGCUCAACCCCGAGUCGGCCGUGCGAACUGGGCUCACUGGAGCAUAGUAGAGGCAGGUGGAAUUCCGGGUGUAGCGGUGGAAUGCGUAGAGAUGCGGAGGAACACCGAUGGCGAAGGCAGCCCCCUGGGCUAACACUGACGCUCAGGCACGAAAGCGUGGGGAGCAAACAGG